GAUGAACGCUGGCGGCGUGCCUAAUACAUGCAAGUCGAGCGAACGGACGAGAAGCUUGCUUCUCUGAUGUUAGCGGCGGACGGGUGAGUAGCACGUGGAUAACCUACCUAUAAGACUGGGAUAACUUCGGGAAACCGGAGCUAAUACCGGAUAAUAUUUUGAACCGCAUGGUUCAAAAGUGAAAGACGGUCUUGCUGUCACUUAUAGAUGGAUCCGCGCUGCAUUAGCUAGUUGGUAAGGUAACGGCUUACCAAGGCAACGAUGCAUAGCCGACCUGAGAGGGUGAUCGGCCACACUGGAACUGAGACACGGUCCAGACUCCUACGGGAGGCAGCAGUAGGGAAUCUUCCGCAAUGGGCGAAAGCCUGACGGAGCAACGCCGCGUGAGUGAUGAAGGUCUUCGGAUCGUAAAACUCUGUUAUUAGGGAAGAACAUAUGUGUAAGUAACUGUGCACAUCUUGACGGUACCUAAUCAGAAAGCCACGGCUAACUACGUGCCAGCAGCCGCGGUAAUACGUAGGUGGCAAGCGUUAUCCGGAAUUAUUGGGCGUAAAGCGCGCGUAGGCGGUUUUUUAAGUCUGAUGUGAAAGCCCACGGCUCAACCGUGGAGGGUCAUUGGAAACUGGAAAACUUGAGUGCAGAAGAGGAAAGUGGAAUUCCAUGUGUAGCGGUGAAAUGCGCAGAGAUAUGGAGGAACACCAGUGGCGAAGGCGACUUUCUGGUCUGUAACUGACGCUGAUGUGCGAAAGCGUGGGGAUCAAACAGGAUUAGAUACCCUGGUAGUCCACGCCGUAAACGAUGAGUGCUAAGUGUUAGGGGGUUUCCGCCCCUUAGUGCUGCAGCUAACGCAUUAAGCACUCCGCCUGGGGAGUACGACCGCAAGGUUGAAACUCAAAGGAAUUGACGGGGACCCGCACAAGCGGUGGAGCAUGUGGUUUAAUUCGAAGCAACGCGAAGAACCUUACCAAAUCUUGACAUCCUUUGACAACUCUAGAGAUAGAGCUUUCCCCUUCGGGGGACAAAGUGACAGGUGGUGCAUGGUUGUCGUCAGCUCGUGUCGUGAGAUGUUGGGUUAAGUCCCGCAACGAGCGCAACCCUUAAGCUUAGUUGCCAUCAUUAAGUUGGGCACUCUAAGUUGACUGCCGGUGACAAACCGGAGGAAGGUGGGGAUGACGUCAAAUCAUCAUGCCCCUUAUGAUUUGGGCUACACACGUGCUACAAUGGACAAUACAAAGGGCAGCGAAACCGCGAGGUCAAGCAAAUCCCAUAAAGUUGUUCUCAGUUCGGAUUGUAGUCUGCAACUCGACUACAUGAAGCUGGAAUCGCUAGUAAUCGUAGAUCAGCAUGCUACGGUGAAUACGUUCCCGGGUCU
rnacentral:rRNA from 1 species